rnacentral:rRNA from 1 species
UACGAAGGGGGCUAGCGUUGCUCGGAAUCACUGGGCGUAAAGGGUGCGUAGGCGGGUCUUUAAGUCAGGGGUGAAAUCCUGGAGCUCAACUCCAGAACUGCCUUUGAUACUGAAGAUCUUGAGUUCGGGAGAGGUGAGUGGAACUGCGAGUGUAGAGGUGAAAUUCGUAGAUAUUCGCAAGAACACCAGUGGCGAAGGCGGCUCACUGGCCCGAUACUGACGCUGAGGUGCGAAAGCUAGGGGAGCAAACGGG